ensembl:lncRNA
AGGUAUGGCCGUAAGCAACUGUAUGCCCUCUUCCUAAUCUUUUAAAAUGUGUCAAAGGUUUUGGAGUUUUGACAAUGAAAUGGAGUCACUUUCUAAGUUCUUCUCUGUGUCUUUUACAGAUAGAAAUGAAAAAGCUUACGGCACCUGGGAUUCCCGGGCGGUCUUCCAUCCAAGUACUAACCAGGCCCUACUCUGCUUAGCUUCUGAGAUCAGACGAGAUCAGGCAGAGCCAGAGAGGUAUGGCCGUAAGCAACUGUAUGUCCUCUUCCUAAUCUUUUAAAAUGUGUCAAAGGUUUUGGAGUUUUGAUAAUGAAAAAGGAGUCACUUUCUAAGGCCUUCUCGAUUUCUUCCAGAGAGAGAAAUGAAAAAGCUUACGGCACCUGGGAUUCCCAGGCGGUCUUCCAUCCAAGUACUAACCAGGCCCUACUCUGCUUAGCUUCUGAGAUCAGACGAGAUCAGGCGGAGCCCGAGAGGUAUGGCCGUAAGCAACUGUAUGUCCUCUUCCUAAUCUUUUAAAAUGUGUCACAGGUUUUGUAGUUUUGACAAUGAAAUGGAGUCACUUUCUAAGUUCUUCUCUGUGUCUUUCACAGAUAGAAAUGAAAAAGCUUACGGCACCUGGGAUUCCCAGGCGGUCUUCCAUCCAGUACUAACCAGGCCCUACUCUGCUUAGCUUCUGAGAUCAGACGAGAUCAGGCGGAGCCAGAGAGGUAUGGCCGUAAGCAACUGUAUGUCCUCUUCCUAAUCUUUUAAAUGUGUCAAAGGUUUUGGAGUUUUGAUAAUGAAAAAGGAUUCACUUUCUAAUGCCUUCUCAAUUUCUUCCAGAGAGAGAAAUGAAAAAGCUUACGGCACCUGGGAUUCCCAGGCGGUCUUCCAUCCAAGUACUAACCAGGCCCUACUCUGCUUAGCUUCUGAGAUCAGACGAGAUCAGGCGGAGCCAGAGAGGUAUGGCCGUAAGCAACUGUAUGUCCUCUUCCUAAUCUUUUAAAAUGUGUCAAAGGUUUUGGAGUUUUGACAAUGAAAUGGAGUCACUUUCUAAGGCCUUCUCUGUGUCUUUUACAGAUAGAAAUGAAAAAGCUUACGGCACCUGGGAUUCCCAGGCGGUCUUCCAUCCAAGUACUAACCAGGCCCUACUCUGCUUAGCUUCUGAGAUCAGACGAGAUCAGGCGGAGCCAGAGAGGUAUGGCCGUAAGCAACUGUAUGUCCUCUUCCUAAUCUUUUAAAAUGUGUCAAAGGUUUUGGAGUUUUGAUAAUGAAAUAGAAGUCACUUUCUAAUGCCUUCUCGAUUUCUUCCAGAGAGAGAAAUGAAAAAGCUUACGGCACCUGGGAUUCCCAGGCGGUCUUCCAUCCAAGUACUAACCAGGCCCUACUCUGCUUAGCUUCUGAGAUCAGACGAGAUCAGGCGGAGCCAGAGAGGUAUGGCCGUAAGCAACUGUAUGUCCUCUUCCUAAUCUUUUAAAAUGUGUCAAAGGUUUUGUAGUUUUGACAAUUAAAUGGAGUCACUUUCUAAGGCCUUCUCUGUGUCUUUUACAGAUCGAAUUGAAAAAGCUUACGGCACAUGGGAUUCCCAGGCGGUCUUCCAUCCAAGUACUAACCAGGCCCUACUCUGCUUAGCUUCUGAGAUCAGACGAGAUCAGGCGGAGCCAGAGAGGUAUGGCCGUAAGCAACUGUAUGUCCUCUUCCUAAUCUUUUAAAAUGUGUCAAAGUUUUUGUAGUUUUGACAAUGAAAUGGAGUCACUUUCUAAGUUCUUCUCUGUGUCUUUUACAGAUAGAAAUGAAAAAGCUUACGGCACCUGGGAUUCCCAGGCGGUCUUCCAUCCAAGUACUAACCAGGCCCUACUCUGCUUAGCUUCUGAGAUCAGACGAGAUCAGGCAGAGCCAGAGAGGUAUGGCCGUAAGCAACUGUAUGUCCUCUUCCUAAUCUUUUAAAAUGUGUCAAAGGUUUUGGAGUUUUGAUAAUGAAAAAGGAGUCACUUUCUAAUGCCUGCUCGAUUUCUUCCAGAGAGAGAAAUGAAAAAGCUUACGGCACCUGGGAUUCCCAGGCGGUCUUCCAUCCAAGUACUAACCAGGCCCUACUCUGCUUAGCUUCUGAGAUCAGACGAGAUCAGGCGGAGCCAGAGAGGUAUGGCCGUAAGCAACUGUAUGUCCUCUACCUAAUCUUUUAAAAUGUGUCAAAGGUUUUGGAGUUUUGACAAUGAAAUGGAGUCACUUUCUAAGGGCUUCUCUGUGUCUUUUACAGAUAGAAAUGAAAAAGCUUACGGCACCUGGGAUUCCCAGGCGGUCUUCCAUCCAAGUACUAACCAGGCCCUACUCUGUUUAGCUUCUGAGAUCAGACGAGAUCAGGCAGAGCCAGAGAGGUAUGGCCGUAAGCAACUGUAUGUCCUCUUCCUAAUCUUUUAAAAUGUGUCAAAGGUUUUGGAGAUUUGAUAAUGAAAAAGGAUUCACUUUCUAAUGCCUUCUCAAUUUCUUCCAGAGAGAGAAAUGAAAAAGCUUACGGCACCUGGGAUUCCCAAGCAGUCUUCCAUCCAAGUACUAACCAGGCCCUACUCUGCUUAGCUUCUGAGAUCUGACGAGAUCAGGCGGAGCCAGAGAGGUAUGGCCGUAAGCAACUGUAUGUCCUCUACCUAAUCUUUUAAAAUGUGUCAAAGUUUUUGUAGUUUUGACAAUUAAAUGGAGUCACUUUCUAAGGCCUUCUCUGUGUCUUUUACAGAUAGAAUUGAAAAAGCUUACGGCACCUGGGAUUCCCAGGCGGUCUUCCAUCCAAGUACUAACCAGGCCCUACUCUGCUUAGCUUCUGAGAUCAGACGAGAUCAGGCAGAGCCAGAGAGGUAUGGCCGUAAGCAACUGUAUGUCCUCUUCCUAAUCUUUUAAAAUGUGUCAAAGGUUUUGGAGUUUUGACAAUGAAAUGGAGUCACUUUCUAAGUUCUUCUCUGUGUCUUUUACAGAUAGAAAUGAAAAAGCUUACGGCACCUGGGAUUCCCAGGCGGUCUUCCAUCCAAGUACUAACCAGGCCCUACUCUGCUUAGCUUCUGAG